GACGAACGCUGGCGGCGUGCCUAAUACAUGCAAGUAGAACGCUGAAGAGAGGAGCUUGCUCUUCUUGGAUGAGUUGCGAACGGGUGAGUAACGCGUAGGUAACCUGCCUGGUAGCGGGGGAUAACUAUUGGAAACGAUAGCUAAUACCGCAUAAAAUUGAUUAUUGCAUGAUAGUCAAUUGAAAGGUGCAACUGCACCACUACCAGAUGGACCUGCGUUGUAUUAGCUAGUUGGUGGGGUAACGGCUCACCAAGGCGACGAUACAUAGCCGACCUGAGAGGGUGAUCGGCCACACUGGGACUGAGACACGGCCCAGACUCCUACGGGAGGCAGCAGUAGGGAAUCUUCGGCAAUGGACGGAAGUCUGACCGAGCAACGCCGCGUGAGUGAAGAAGGUUUUCGGAUCGUAAAGCUCUGUUGUAAGAGAAGAACGAGUGUGAGAGUGGAAA
rnacentral:rRNA from 1 species